rnacentral:rRNA from 1 species
GACGAACGCUGGCGGCGUGCUUAACACAUGCAAGUCGAACGAUGAAGCCGGAGCUUGCUCUGGUGAAUUAGUGGCGAACGGGUGAGUAACACGUGAGUAACCUGCCCUUGACUCUGGGAUAACUGCGGGAAACUGUAGCUAAUACCGGAUACGACCCUCGGAGGCAUCUCCUGGGGGUGGAAAGAAUUUUGGUCAAGGAUGGACUCGCGGCCUAUCAGCUAGUUGGUGAGGUAAAGGCUCACCAAGGCGACGACGGGUAGCCGGCCUGAGAGGGUGACCGGCCACAAUGGGACUGAGACACGGCCCAGGCUCCUACGGGAGGCAGCAGUGGGGAAUAUUGCACAAUGGGCGCAAGCCUGAUGCAGCAACGCCGCGUGAGGGAUGACGGCCUUCGGGUUGUAAACCUCUUUUAGCAGGGAAGAAGCGAAAGUGACGGUACCUGCAGAAAAAGCACCGGCUAACUACGUGCCAGCCGCCGCAGUAA